rnacentral:rRNA from 1 species
GACGAACGCUGGCGGCGUGCUUAACACAUGCAAGUCGAACGGAAAGGCCCUGCUUUUGUGGGGUGCUCGAGUGGCGAACGGGUGAGUAACACGUGAGUAACCUGCCCUUGACUUUGGGAUAACUUCAGGAAACUGGGGCUAAUACCGGAUAGGAGCUCCUGCUGCAUGGUGGGGGUUGGAAAGUUUCGGCGGUUGGGGAUGGACUCGCGGCUUAUCAGCUUGUUGGUGGGGUAGUGGCUUACCAAGGCUUUGACGGGUAGCCGGACUGAGAGGGUGACCGGCCACAAUGGGACUGAGAUACGGCCAAGACUCCUACGGGAGGAAGCAGUGGGGAAUAUUGCACAAUGGGCGGAAGCCGGAUGCAGCAACGCCGCGUGCGGGAUGACGGCCUUCGGGUUGUAAACCGCUUUCGCCUGUGACGAAGCGUGAGUGACGGUAAUGGGUAAAGAAGCACCGGCUAACUACGUG